rnacentral:lncRNA from 1 species
ACCAACUUCAAUCGCUCUACAUGGAGACUCCGCCUGGACUCCUACGGGAGCCUGAUCUCAUUAGCUACAAGGAGACUUCGUCCGAGCUCCUACGGGAGCCAAACUCCGUUCCCAACCUCAGCUGCUGAAAGGCUCCACCCGGACUCCUUCGGGAGCCGAGCUCCUCCCACGACUUCAGAUAAAUUCUGUCCGGACUCCUAUGGGAGCCGGACUCCGCCCCUGACUUCGCUUGUAGGUGAACUUCGUCCGGGCUCCUACGAGAGCCGAAUCUCGUCUCUGACUUUAAUUGCAGGUAGACCUCGUCCGGACUCCCAUGAGAGCU